rnacentral:rRNA from 1 species
GCAGUCGAGCGGUAAGGCCCUUCGGGGUACACGAGCGGCGAACGGGUGAGUAACACGUGGGUGAUCUGCCUUGUACUUCGGGAUAAGCCUGGGAAACUGGGUCUAAUACCGGAUAUGACCCCGGAUUGCAUGUUUUGUGGUGGAAAGAUUUAUCGGUGCGAGAUGGGCCCGCGGCCUAUCAGCUUGUUGGUGAGGUAACGGCUUACCAAGGCGACGACGGGUAGCCGACCUGAGAGGGUGACCGGCCACACUGGGACUGAGACACGGCCCAGACUCCUACGGGAGGCAGCAGUGGGGAAUAUUGCACAAUGGGCGAAAGCCUGAUGCAGCGACGCCGCGUGGGGGAUGACGGCCUUCGGGUUGUAAACCGCUUUUGACAGGGACGAAGCGCAAGUGACUGUACCUGUAGAAUAAGGACCGGCCAACUACGUGCCAGCAGCCGCGGUAAUACGUAGGGUGCGAGCGUUGUCCGGAAUUACUGGGCGUAAAGAGCUUGUAGGCGGUUUGUCGCGUCGUUUGUGAAAACUUGGGGCUCAACCUUAAGCUUGCAGGCGAUACGGGCGGACUAGAGUACUUCAGGGGAGACUGGAAUUCCUGGUGUAGCGGUGAAAUGCGCAGAUAUCAGGAGGAACACCGGUGGCGAAGGCGGGUCUCUGGGAAGUAACUGACGCUGAGAAGCGAAAGCAUGGGUAGCAAACAGGAUUAGAUACCCUGGUAGUCCAUGCCGUAAACGGUGGGUACUAGGUGUGGGGCUCCUUCCACGGACUCCGUGCCGUAGCUAACGCAUUAAGUACCCCGCCUGGGGAGUACGGCCGCAAGGCUAAAACUCAAAGAAAUUGACGGGGGCCCGCACAAGCGGCGGAGCAUGUGGAUUAAUUCGAUGCAACGCGAAGAACCUUACCUGGGUUUGACAUACACCGGAAACCUGCAGAGAUGUAGGCCCCCUUGUGGUCGGUGUACAGGUGGUGCAUGGCUGUCGUCAGCUCGUGUCGUGAGAUGUUGGGUUAAGUCCCGCAACGAGCGCAACCCUUAUCUUAUGUUGCCAGCGCGUAAUGGCGGGGACUCGUGAGAGACUGCCGGGGUCAACUCGGAGGAAGGUGGGGACGACGUCAAGUCAUCAUGCCCCUUAUGUCCAGGGCUUCACACAUGCUACAAUGGCCGGUACAGAGGGCUGCGAUACCGCGAGGUGGAGCGAAUCCCUUAAAGCCGGUCUCAGUUCGGAUCGGGGUCUGCAACUCGACCCCGUGAAGUUGGAGUCGCUAGUAAUCGCAGAUCA